rnacentral:rRNA from 1 species
UACGAAGGGUGCUAGCGUUGCUCGGAAUCACUGGGCGUAAAGGGUGCGUAGGCGGGUCUUUAAGUUAGGGGUGAAAUCCUGGAGCUCAACUCCAGAACUGCCUUUGAUACUGAAGAUCUUGAGUUCGGGAGAGGUGAGUGGAACUGCGAGUGUAGAGGUGAAAUUCGUAGAUAUUCGCAAGAACACCAGUGGCGAAGGCGGCUCACUGGCCCGAUACUGACGCUGAGGCACGAAAGCGUGGGGAGCAAACAGG